rfam:Gossypium hirsutum cultivar TM-1 chromosome 18, whole genome shotgun sequence
UAUUAAAAUUUUCAUCUAUUAAUACUAUUAAAAACUAACUUGGUUGACAGAAUAACUAAACAAUGACAUGUGACGUGCCGCAUGAUCAAUUUUUAAUAGUAAAAAUGGAUGAAAUUUUUAACA